UAUCAAUCAAGUGAAGCAGCUAUCACAGGGUCUGGAACAUAGUACAUCCCAGCCUUCUUGCACAUAGAAACACUACACAGCACUUCAGCUGUAUGUUUGGGGGCCAUUUUAAACAGCAAAAUCAUCAACAGGAAGCAGAAAAUUGUAAAAAUUGUGGCACUAAAUAGACCAUGUAAAGGACACAUGUUUGCAAUAAGAAAGCUGAAACAAGAAGGGGGAGUGUCACCUUAUUUGAUCCAGCUAGAAACUCAGGUGCUGGUAUUCCAGCAACACUCAGGCGGCUGCUCCAGGAGGCUGCAGAGGGGUCCUUUUUAGCCGUCAACAAAACUGGCUAUGGUCACGCCCAUUGGGAAACUCAUUGCUGCCUUCAAGGACUCAGAAGCUGUAGGAAUAUUCAGGCACAGACACCAGACCCAGCUUCAUCUCUAACUUGUGGCAAAGGACAGUACAUCCUGGGAUGGGACCCUAUGCUCCCCUAUGCCAUUUAGACAGAGCCUGGGGAGAGUGACUUCCCAGGGUAUCCAUGUUGGAAUCUCUCAUUUGAUUCUUAUUCAAAUUUAGGUUCUGUCAAUAGAAGAUACUAAAGAAAGAAAGCCAGGAGAAGAAAAGGGACUUCUUUCUUCAAGGUCUAAGCUGUUCUAAUAGCAUUAUUCUGGGAAUGGCAUCUUCCACUCCUCCUAGUACAAAGAACCUGCUUCCUCAUACCCCGUCAAGGAACUGCAGCAUCCAGGUGAUGGCCACAGUGGCAGAACCUAGGAAGCCAAGAAGAAACCAGAGAAUGGAGACACAUGGCAGCAAUGGCAAGUCAUCAGACCCAGGAUUUCCCAAAGAACACUGGUCCAGGAAGAUGCUCUGUGAAAAAGUGUUCCCUGGUCGGAGAAAUUUGUGAAACACUUUGCAUAAUACUUAAAAGAAUGUAUGGC
rnacentral:lncRNA from 10 species